AUUGAACGCUGGCGGCAGGCCUAACACAUGCAAGUCGAACGAGUGGCGGACGGGUGAGUAAUGUUUGGGAAUCUGCCUGAUGGAGGGGGAUAACUACUGGAAACGGUAGCUAAUACCGCAUACCAUCAGAUGUGCCCAGGUUGGAUUAGGUAGUUGGUGGGGUAACGGCUCACCAAGCCGACGAUCCCUAGCUGGUCUGAGAGGAUGACCAGCCACACUGGGACUGAGACACGGUCCAGACUCCUACGGGAGGCAGCAGUGGGGAAUAUUGCGCAAUGGGCGCAAGCCUGAUGCAGCCAUGCCGCGUGAAUGAAGAAGGCCUUCGGGUUGUAAAGUUCUUUCGGCAGGGAGGCGUUACCCACAGAAGAAGCACCGGCUAACUCCGUGCCAGCAGCCGCGGUAAUAC
rnacentral:rRNA from 1 species